rnacentral:rRNA from 2 species
GAAUGCUGACAUAAGUAACGAUAAAGCGGGUGAAAAGCCCGCUCGCCGGAAGACCAAGGGUUCCUGUCCAACGUUAAUCGGGGCAGGGUGAGUCGACCCCUAAGGCGAGGCCGAAAGGCGUAGUCGAUGGGAAACGGGUUAAUAUUCCCGUACUUGGUGUUACUGCGAAGGGGGGACGGAGAAGGCUAUGUUGGCCGGGCGACGGUUGUCCCGGUUUAAGCGUGUAGGUGUGUGUUCCAGGUAAAUCCGGUUCACUUUAACACUGAGGCGUGACGACGAGGCACUACGGUGCUGAAGCAACAAAUGCCCUGCUUCCAGGAAAAGCCUCUAAGCAUCAGGUAACAUCAAAUCGUACCCCAAACCGACACAGGUGGUCAGGUAGAGAAUACCAAGGCGCUUGAGAGAACUCGGGUGAAGGAACUAGGCAAAAUGGUGCCGUAACUUCGGGAGAAGGCACGCUGACACGUAGGUGAAGUGAUUUACUCAUGGAGCUGAAGUCAGUCGAAGAUACCAGCUGGCUGCAACUGUUUAUUAAAAACACAGCACUGUGCAAACACGAAAGUGGACGUAUACGGUGUGACGCCUGCCCGGUGCCGGAAGGUUAAUUGAUGGGGUCAGCGCAAGCGAAGCUCCUGAUCGAAGCCCCGGUAAACGGCGGCCGUAACUAUAACGGUCCUAAGGUAGCGAAAUUCCUUGUCGGGUAAGUUCCGACCUGCACGAAUGGCGUAAUGAUGGCCAGGCUGUCUCCACCCGAGACUCAGUGAAAUUGAACUCGCUGUGAAGAUGCAGUGUACCCGCGGCAAGACGGAAAGACCCCGUGAACCUUUACUAUAGCUUGACACUGAACAUUGAGCCUUGAUGUGUAGGAUAGGUGGGAGGCUUUGAAGCGUGGACGCCAGUCUGCGUGGAGCCGGCCUUGAAAUACCACCCUUUAAUGUUUGAUGUUCUAACGUGGACCCGU